UACGUAGGCAGCGAGCGUUGUUCGGAGUUACUGGGCGUAAAGGGUGUGUAGGCGGUUCUUUAAGUUUGGUGUGAAAUCUCCCGGCUCAACCGGGAGGGUGCGCCGAAUACUGAGGGACUAGAGUGCGGGAGAGGAAAGUGGAAUUCCUGGUGUAGCGGUGAAAUGCGUAGAUAUCAGGAGGAACACCGGUGGUGUAGACGGCUUUCUGGACCGUAACUGACGCUGAGACACGAAAGCGUGGGGAGCAAACAGG
rnacentral:rRNA from 1 species